UACGGAGGGGGCUAGCGUUGUUCGGAAUUACUGGGCGUAAAGCGCACGUAGGCGGAUUGAAAAGUUGGGGGUGAAAUCCCAGGGCUCAACCCUGGAACUGCCUUCAAAACUAUCAGUCUAGAGUUCGAGAGAGGUGAGUGGAAUUCCGAGUGUAGAGGUGAAAUUCGUAGAUAUUCGGAGGAACACCAGUGGCGAAGGCGGCUCACUGGCUCGAUACUGACGCUGAGGUGCGAAAGCGUGGGGAGCAAACAGG
rnacentral:rRNA from 1 species